rnacentral:lncRNA from 1 species
UCUGGAUCAGGCUCCUCAUGGAUCUCAUCAUCAUCAGGAUCAGGUUCAGACCCAUGUUUCAAAAUGCCCUUCUUUGUACUGAAUUCAUCAGGAUCAGGUUCUUCUCUUGUCCUAUGGUCACACAAAUCAUCAGGAUCAGGUUCUUCUCUUUUCCUAUGGUCACACAAAUCAUCAGGAUUGGAUUCUUCUCUUCGCCUGUGGUCACACAAAUCAUCAGGAUCAGGAUCUUCUCUUUGCCUAUGGUCACACAAAUCAUCAGGAUCAGGUUCCUCGCUUAUUUUAUGGUCACAAAAACCACCAGGAUCUGGCAAUGAUGUGUUCUUAUACUUCAUGAUGCUACUGUUUGGGAAGCAAUA